GCAGAAGUAUAGAGCUGAGUCACGUGCAGGCCCAGAGCCGGAUGCAUCCGGAUGAAUACUCACACUAGCGCUGACAGGCUCUGCUCGGCAUUUCAGAAAAGCCCGACAAUCUUCCCUCGGGCGUUUCCCAAUGCUCCUCGGUAAGAGCUAUGUCUGAUUCCAGGAAUCUGAGAUGGACCCUGGCACAGUCCCGCCCGCCGUGUGUUCUGCUGUGUGCUCUCAUCCAGCUUACAGGUAUUGGCAUCAUAUCAGGGAAGAUGUCUUCUCUGAACAGGACUCAGGGAGAUUAUGUUCUGUUGUGUCCAGAUUCAAAAAUUGGAAACGAGACCCUGUUGAUUAAAUGGUAUUUUCUAUCUAAGAAUCUGAGCCUACUCACCAUCUGGUCAGGGGAGAGCAGUCCACACUGGAUCAUUCCCCAGAAGGAAUACAAGGGGAGGCUGUCUGUUCCUGAUGGAGAAUCUCUGAAGAUCACAAAUCUGACCCCUGAAGACAGUGGAAGUUAUGAAGCUCAUAUCAUAUCAGUCUCAGGAGAGAUAUAUAUUGAAAAGUUCAAUUUAACUGUCUUUGGCACUGUGACUAGAAAGUCUAACACAAAUCCAUGGAUUUGGUGGUCCCUGCUGGGCAGCCUGGUGCUCCUGGUGGCAGUUUGGUGUUUUCUUUGUAAAGUAAAGAGUUCCCCUUGCAAAAUUAAAGACAUUCUCACAAGAGGAAACAUACAAGCAGUAGUGUAUCACGAGAAUGAGAGAAGACUAGAGGAGGGCUUGACAGCUUGUCCAAAUGGCUUCCAUUCAGAUCAAGAGACACACGGAAGACACCUGUGAGUGUACAAUUUUUGACUGAUGGAUUGACAGCAUAGAAAAGUCAUUUAUACAGACCCUCAUGUUCCAGAGAGCCUUGCCAACUGCAAACACAAGAUCAUGGAAUUAUGCUGGGCAGAGUCUGCAUGACACAGGAGAUCAGCUGAGAGCAACACGGAUAAAAGCAAUCCAACAGUAUCAACCAACAAAGACAUAGUUCAUCCUAAAGUCUUAGAGGCUUGCACUGAUUUUUCCAGACCUGUGCCCUGGGCACGGAUGACCACAGGUGUGGUCUACAUGUGUCCAUGCUUCCUUUUGAUGGUGUAUAUUGCUGGCAAACUCUGCCUUAGGUUUAUAGGAGGAGAGAUAUCAUUACUUCUCUUUACUGGCCUCUUCAAUGUCAUUCUCUCCAAUGUCCUCAUUCCUCCCCUCUCCUAUCGGAACUCCAUCGCAUCAACCCUGAUCUCUGAUAAGUGAGUUUUCACUUUUUCUUGUCCAGCACCAGGGCUCCAUGCCAUUUCCUGGUCAUCUCCACGCUAGCUACAGAGCAUAUCACCUAUCCCAUUCCAGCUCGCCUUUGUGUGUUGUCUUCUGCUAUUCAAAUGUAAGCUCCCUGAAGGCACAAUGAAUACUGAGAUCGGCAUGGAGCCAGUUCAACUUCUGCCUUAGACACAUAAUAGUGUGUGACCCUGGACAAGUCACUUAGCCUCAGUUAGCCUUACUUUCCUCAUCUGUAAGAUGGGGAUAUAAUUGCACCUACCUCCUAGAGUUAGAGAAAGUGAGAUAAUAUUUGCAAGGCUCUUUGUCAGCCUUAAAGCACUAUGUAAAUGCUAGCUAUUGGUAUUAAUAUUUGUAUCUCUGGCACUUUGUACAGUGCCUGAAGGAAAAUGAGCACUUAAUUAAUUCCAUAUCUAUAUAUGUCUUUCACUAAGUGCCUUUGCUAGUGAAAUGAACAGAACCAAGAGAACACUAUAUACAGUAACAGCAAUAUUGUAUGGUGAUCAACUGUGAAUGACUUAGCUAU
ensembl:lncRNA